rnacentral:rRNA from 2 species
UGUCUCAGUACAAGCCAAAUUAAGGUGAAACCGCGAAAGGCUCAUUAAAUCAGUUAUGGUUCCUUAGAUCGUACCCACAAUUACUUGGAUAACUGUGGUAAUUCUAGAGCUAAUACAUGCAAACAGAGCUCCGACCGGAGACGGAAGGAGUGCUUUUAUUAGAUCAAAACCAAUCGGUGGCGGGCUUGCUCGUCAUCGUACAACUUGGUGACUCUGAAUAACUUUACGCUGAUCGCACGGUCUUCGCACCGGCGACGCAUCUUUCAAAUGUCUGCCUUAUCAACUGUCGAUGGUAGGUUCUGCGCCUACCAUGGUUGUAACGGGUAACGGGGAAUCAGGGUUCGAUUCCGGAGAGGGAGCCUGAGAAACGGCUACCACAUCCAAGGAAGGCAGCAGGCGCGCAAAUUACCCACUCCCGGCACGGGGAGGUAGUGACGAAAAAUAACGAUACGGGACUCAUCCGAGGCCCCGUAAUCGGAAUGAGUACACUCUAAACCCUUUAACGAGGAUCAAUUGGAGGGCAAGUCUGGUGCCAGCAGCCGCGGUAAUUCCAGCUCCAAUAGCGUAUAUUAAAGUUGUUGCGGUUAAAAAGCUCGUAGUCGAAUUUGUGUCUCGUGCCGCUGGUUCAUCGUCCGCGGUGUUAACUGGCGAGUCGCGAGACGUCCUGCCGGUGGGCUUAGCUCGUCAGGGCGGCCCAACUCAAUCCUGCCGCGGUGCUCUUCAUUGAGUGUCGAGGUGGGCCGGCACGUUUACUUUGAACAAAUUAGAGUGCUUAAAGCAGGCUAAAACUUCGCCUGAAUACUGUGUGCAUGGAAUAAUGGAAUAGGACCUCGGUUCUAUUUUGUUGGUUUUCGGAACCCCGAGGUAAUGAUUAAUAGGAACGGAUGGGGGCAUUCGUAUUGCGACGUUAGAGGUGAAAUUCUUGGAUCGUCGCAAGACGGACAGAAGCGAAAGCAUUUGCCAAAAACGCUUUCAUUGAUCAAGAACGAAAGUUAGAGGUUCGAAGGCGAUCAGAUACCGCCCUAGUUCUAACCAUAAACGAUGUCAGCUAGCGAUCCGUCGACGUUCCUCCGAUGACUCGACGGGCAGCUUCCGGGAAACCAAAGCUUUUGGGUUCCGGGGGAAGUAUGGUUGCAAAGCUGAAACUUAAAGGAAUUGACGGAAGGGCACCACCAGGAGUGGAGCCUGCGGCUUAAUUUGACUCAACACGGGAAACCUCACCAGGCCCGGACACCGGAAGGAUUGACAGAUUGAGAGCUCUUUCUUGAUUCGGUGGGUGGUGGUGCAUGGCCGUUCUUAGUUGGUGGAGCGAUUUGUCUGGUUAAUUCCGAUAACGAACGAGACUCUAGCCUGCUAACUAGGCGUAUUUUGACAUCCUAAAGGCCCGCCGGCUUGGGGUUCGCUCCUUGUCGUGCGCGGUUUUUACUGUCGGCGUACAAACAAUUCUUCUUAGAGGGACAGGCGGCUUCUAGCCGCACGAGAUUGAGCAAUAACAGGUCUGUGAUGCCCUUAGAUGUUCUGGGCCGCACGCGCGCUACACUGAAGGAAUCAGCGUGUCCUCCCUGGCCGAGUGG